rnacentral:rRNA from 1 species
GACGAACGCUGGCGGCGUGCUUAACACAUGCAAGUCGAACGGAAAGGCCCUGCUUGCAGGGUACUCGAGUGGCGAACGGGUGAGUAACACGUGGGUGAUCUGCCCUGCACUUCGGGAUAAGCCUGGUAAAAUGGGGCGAAUCCCGGUUAGGUGCCAGUUUGAAUGGGAUGGUUGGAAAGGUUUUUGGGUGUGGGAUGAGCUCGCGGGCUAGCAGCUUGUUGGUGGGGUAAUGGCCUACCAAGGCGGCGACGGGUAGCCGGCCUGAGAGGGUGGACGGCCACAUUGGGACUGAGAUACGGCCCAGACACCUACGGGGGGCAGCAUUGGGGAAUAUUGCACAAUGGGCGCAAGCCUGAUGCAGCGACGGCGCGUGGGGGAUGACGGCCUUCGGGUUGUAAACGCCUUUCGCUAGGGACGAAGCUUUUUGUGACGGUACCUAGAUAAGAAGCACCGGCUAACUACGUG